AGUGCAUGGGGGAAAAGCCACACAGGAUAAAGGAGAGCUGACUGCAUUCCCCCUGCUCAGGUGAUAAGGAAACCUGGGCCAGAGAACAUAGCCAUGCUCCACGUGCCUCUAUAAAUGCAUCUAACCUAAGCUGUUCUUUCCUGGAAAUGACAUGCUAAAAUAGAAAUCCUUGGCUUCUAAACUGUCCUCCGUUCUGCUUGACACUCAAGCUAGUGUCAAAAGAUGUCUACCUACCUGACCCAAACCAACAAAGUAAGAAAAGUCAUAUAAAAUAGAAAGGAAUACUACCUUGGUUGCAGAUAUUGGCAAAGGUAAUUAAAGUAUGUUCCUGCUUAUGAUUCUUAUCCAGAUACAGUCUGUUUCAGCAA
rnacentral:lncRNA from 1 species